rnacentral:rRNA from 1 species
GUGGGGAAUAUUGGACAAUGGGCGCAAGCCUGAUCCAGCAAUGCCGCGUGGGUGAAGAAGGCCUUCGGGUUGUAAACUGCUUUUGUACGGAACGAAACGGUCCGGGUUAAUACCCUGGGCUAAUGACGGUACCGUAAGAAUAAGCACCGGCUAACUACGUGCCAGCAGCCGCGGUAAUACGUAGGGUGCAAGCGUUAAUCGGAAUUACUGGGCGUAAAGCGUGCGCAGGCGGUUUUGUAAGACAGGCGUGAAAUCCCCGGGCUCAACCUGGGAAUUGCGCUUGUGACUGCAAGGCUGGAGUGCGGCAGAGGGGGAUGGAAUUCCGCGUGUAGCAGUGAAAUGCGUAGAUAUGCGGAGGAACACCGAUGGCGAAGGCAAUCCCCUGGGCCUGCACUGACGCUCAUGCACGAAAGCGUGGGGAGCAAACAGGAUUAGAUACCCUUGUAGUCC